GAGACACGGUCCAAACUCCUACGGGAGGCAGCAGUGAGGAAUAUUGGUCAAUGGGCGCAGGCCUGAACCAGCCAAGUAGCGUGAAGGAUGACUGCCCUAUGGGUUGUAAACUUCUUUUAUAUGGGAAUAAAGUUUUCCACGUGUGGAAUUUUGUAUGUACCAUAUGAAUAAGGAUCGGCUAACUCCGUGCCAGCAGCCGCGGUAAUACGGAGGAUCCGAGCGUUAUCCGGAUUUAUUGGGUUUAAAGGGAGCGUAGGUGGACAGUUAAGUCAGUUGUGAAAGUUUGCGGCUCAACCGUAAAAUUGCAGUUGAUACUGGCUGUCUUGAGUACAGUAGAGGUGGGCGGAAUUCGUGGUGUAGCGGUGAAAUGCUUAGAUAUCACGAAGAACUCCGAUUGCGAAGGCAGCUCACUGGACUGCAACUGACACUGAUGCUCGAAAGUGUGGGUAUCAAACAGGAUUAGAUACCCUGGUAGUCCACACAGUAAACGAUGAAUACUCGCUGUUUGCGAUAUACAGUAAGCGGCCAAGCGAAAGCAUUAAGUAUUCCACCUGGGGAGUACGCCGGCAACGGUGAAACUCAAAGGAAUUGACGGGGGCCCGCACAAGCGGAGGAACAUGUGGUUUAAUUCGAUGAUACGCGAGGAACCUUACCCGGGCUUAAAUUGCAUUUGAAUAUAUUGGAAACAGUAUAGCCGUAAGGCAAAUGUGAAGGUGCUGCAUGGUUGUCGUCAGCUCGUGCCGUGAGGUGUCGGCUUAAGUGCCAUAACGAGCGCAACCCUUAUCUUUAGUUACUAACAGGUCAUGCUGAGGACUCUAGAGAGACUGCCGUCGUAAGAUGUGAGGAAGGUGGGGAUGACGUCAAAUC
rnacentral:rRNA from 1 species